rnacentral:lncRNA from 1 species
GUCAGUCAUGACGAAUCUACGAGCUUAACUCACAUCUGACUUUCUGUUGACAACCAAAAUUGGCAAACCUGGUCAGACCUGUCCAAACUGGUCUCCCAACCGGUCAGACCGAUUUGGUCAAAGUCCUCCAAAUGCAAAUUGGACUUCACUAUUGUGUAGCUCUCGUCAAGUGGAUCAAAAUUCAUAUAUAGAACGUCCGAUAUGGAGUUUGAAUGAGAGAGUUAUGACUUCGGAAAGAUCUGCCCCCGAGGAGACACGUCAGACUGGUUUGCAAACCGAUCAGACCGGUUUGGGUCCGUAGAGUCCAAGUACAAGUUCUAUAUUUUUGCACGAGAUUUGUAAGAGUUUUGACUACACUAGUGGCAAGACCUCCCCUCCC